rnacentral:rRNA from 1 species
GCGGGUGUGCAAGUCAGGUGUGAAAUUCCACGGCUCAACUGUGGAGCUGCACUUGAAACUGCAUAUCUUGAGUGAAGUAGAGGCAAUUGGAAUUCCCGGUGUAGCGGUAAAAUGCGUAGAUAUCGGGAGGAACACCAGUGGCGAAGGCGGAUUGCUGGGCUUUAACUGACGCUGAGGCGCGAAAGCGUGGGGAGCAAACAGGAUUAGAUACCCUGGUAGUCCACGCCGUAAACGAUGGAUACUAGGUGUGGGAGGUAUCGACCCCUUCCGUGCCGCAGUUAACACAAUAAGUAUCCCACCUGGGGAGUACGACCGCAAGGUUGAAACUCAAAGGAAUUGACGGAGGCCCGCACAAGCAGUGGAGUAUGUGGUUUAAUUCGAAGCAACGCGAAGAACCUUACCAGGGUUUGACAUCCAAGGAAUCCUACAGAGA